GCCGGGCGUAGUGGUGCACGCCUGUAAUCUCAGCAGCUCAGGAGGCUGAGACAGGAGGAUUGCGAGUUCAAAGGCAGCCUCAGCAAUUUAGCAAGGCACUAAGCAACUCAGUGAGACUCUGUCUCUA
rnacentral:sRNA from 1 species